UCCCUCGGUGGUUCGUAUCCAUUUCUUAACUUUUCCUUUUUCUUAUCAUUUCCUUUUUCCUUAAACCCUUAGACUCUUUCUUACUUUCCUUUUUUAGACGCCACCCGUUCUCGGUGUCACACUCAAUCCAUUCAGCAAUCAUUCAUAGGUAUCCUAUCAUUCAUCUAACCAGACCGGUUAGCAGUUCUCUUAUUAUCCUACGUUCAUUUCUUUCUAACCAUCCUAGCGCUCAAUCACAA
rnacentral:lncRNA from 1 species